rnacentral:rRNA from 1 species
AUUGAACGCUGGCGGAAUGCUUUACACAUGCAAGUCGAACGGCAGCACGGACUUCGGUCUGGUGGCGAGUGGCGAACGGGUGAGUAAUGUAUCGGAACGUGCCCAGUCGUGGGGGAUAACGUAGUGAAAAUUACGCUAAUACCGCAUACGAUCUAUGGAUGAAAGCGGGGGAUCGCAAGCACCCGCCCGAUUGGAGCGGCCGAGAUCAGAUUAGGUAGUUGGUGGGGUAAAGGCCCACCAAGCCAACGAUCUGUAGCUGGUCUGAGAGGACGACCAGCCACACUGGAACUGAGACACGGUCCAGACUCCUACGGGAGGCAGCAGUGGGGAAUUUUGGACAAUGGGCGAAAGCCUGAUCCAGCCAUUCCGCGUGCAGGAUGAAGGCCCUCGGGUUGUAAACUGCUUUUGUACAGAACGAAAAGGUUUCUACUAAUACUAGGAGCUCAUGACGGUACUGUAAGAAUAAGCACCGGCUAACUACGUGCCAGCCGCCGCCGUAA